rnacentral:rRNA from 1 species
AUUGAACGCUGGCGGCAUGCCUUACACAUGCAAGUCGAACGGUAACAGGUCUUCGGAUGCUGACGAGUGGCGAACGGGUAAGUAAUACAUCGGAACGUGCCCGAUCGUGGGGGAUAACGAAGCGAAAGCUUUGCUAAUACCGCAUACGAUCUACGGAUGAAAGCAGGGGACCGCAAGGCCUUGCGCGAACGGAGCGGCCGAUGGCAGAUUAGGUAGUUGGUGGGAUAAAAGCUUACCAAGCCGACGAUCUGUAGCUGGUCUGAGAGGACGACCAGCCACACUGGGACUGAGACACGGCCCAGACUCCUACGGGAGGCAGCAGUGGGGAAUUUUGGACAAUGGGCGAAAGCCUGAUCCAGCCAUGCCGCGUGCAGGAUGAAGGCCUUCGGGUUGUAAACUGCUUUUGUACGGAACGAAAAGACUCUGGUUAAUACCUGGGGUCCAUGACGGUACCGUAAGAAUAAGCACCGGCUAACUACGUGCCAGCAGCCGCGGUAAUACGUAGGGUGCAAGCGUUAAUCGGAAUUACUGGGCGUAAAGCGUGCGCAGGCGGUUAUAUAAGACAGAUGUGAAAUCCCCGGGCUCAACCUGGGAACUGCAUUUGUGACUGUAUAGCUAGAGUACGGCAGAGGGGGAUGGAAUUCCGCGUGUAGCAGUGAAAUGCGUAGAUAUGCGGAGGAACACCGAUGGCGAAGGCAAUUCCCUGGGCCUGUACUGACGCUCAUGCACGAAAGCGUGGGGAGCAAACAGG